rnacentral:rRNA from 1 species
GACGAACGCUGGCGGCGUGCUUAACACAUGCAAGUCGAGCGGAGCGGCGAACGGGUGAGUAAAGCGUGAGGAACUGCCCCGGUCUCUGGGAUAACAGUUGGAAACGGGUGAGAAUAACGGGUAGUGGGGGAUGACUCGCGUCCUAUCAGCUUGUUGGUGGGGUAGUGGCCUACCAGGGCGACGACGGGUAGCAGGCCUGAGAGGGCGACCGGCCACAUUGGGCUGAGAUACGGCCCAACCCCCUCCGGGAGGCAGCAGUGGCGACUUUUGCACAAUGCGGGACACCCUUGUGCAGCAACGCCGCGUGCGUGAUGCCGGCCUUCGUGUUCUAAGCCGCUUUCUGCCAUGACGCGGUAUUGGUAGAAGCAGCACCCGCUAACUACGUGCCAGCAGCCGCGGUAAUUC